rnacentral:rRNA from 1 species
GAAGUCCCACCCUUCGGGGUGACGACUUAGUGGCAGACGGCUGAGUAACGCGUGAGUGAUCUGCCUUUGGGUAGGGGAUAACAGAGAGAAAUUUCUGCUAAUACCGCAUACGAUCCGCAGAAUAGAGGCUGUGGAUGAAAGGUGCCGGGUAACCGGUUUCCGCCCUUAGAUGAGCUCGCGUCCUAUCAGGUAGUUGGUGGGGUAAUGGCCUACCAAGCCUUAGACGGGUAACUGGUGUGAGAGCAUGACCAGUCAGAGGGGGACUGAGACACGGCCCCCACUCCUACGGGAGGCAGCAGCAGGGAAUCUUCCACAAUGGGCGAAAGCCUGAUGGAGCGACGCCGCGUGAGGGAUGAAGGCUCUAGGGUCGUAAACCUCUUUUCUCAGGGAAGAGCAAGGACGGUACCUGAGGAAUAAGUGACGGCUAACUACGUGCCAGCAGCCGCGGUAAUACGUAGGUCACAAACGUUGUCCGGAUUUAUUGGGCGUAAAGGGUCCGUAGGCGGUUCGGUAAGUCUCCUGUGAAAUCUUCAGGCUCAACUUGAAGAGGUCGGGGGAUACUGCCGGACUUGAGACUGUUAGAGGCAAGUGGAAUUCCCGGUGUAGUGGUGAAAUGCGUAGAUAUCGGGAGGAACACCAGUGGCGAAAGCGGCUUGCUGGGACAGUUCUGACGCUGAGGGACGAAAGCGUGGGUAGCAAACCGGAUUAGAUACCCGGGUAGUCCACGCCGUAAACGAUGAAUGCUAGGUUUUCGGGGUAUCGACCCCCUGAGAGCCGUAGCUA